GACUCAUUAGCUCGAAUUGGUAGAGCGGGACACUGUUAAUGUCUUGGUUGGUGGUUCGAAUCCAUCAUGAGUCGCCA
rnacentral:tRNA from 1 species